rnacentral:lncRNA from 1 species
CGCAACUGUAUGUCACUCAUCUUGAAUGAUUCAGGAACUUACAAUACUGAAUAAUAGCAGCCUACUAUUGGGCAUGAAGAGUUCUGCGGGUUUGUUUUGCUUUUCAAAACGGGCGUGUUUAGAAUUAUUGUCUUUUUUAUUCUACAGAUGCCUCAACGGUCGAUGGAGAAAUGUGCCCGCCUUUGACUGCUUAAUACAAAGUGUUCGGGCUUCAGUGCUGUAAAAUAAUCAAUGGAUUGCAUAAGUCCCAUGCAGAAUAAGAGAAGACAUAGUGGAGACCUGGAGCAGUGGCACAACCAGUCGAAAAGGCAGUGUAAUGGACUCGGAGGCCGUGUCCAGGUGGAAUAUGGUGCGGUAAUGGACACUCCAGUGGACACGCGGGAUACCCAAAAUCACAGCCCUCAAAAUGGACAUGGUGCCAACAUCCCCGGCAUGCAGGUGUUACCCGCCCCAGGACGUGGGGCAGGACAGUAUUGCCCCAGGUGUAUGGCAGGUGAACCUGGCCAUAUAAACCACAUCAUGAGGUAUUGAUCAGCAUUGCCGAUGGCUCCUGGAGAAAAUGAAUCGACUGAAUAAACGGCCGAUAUAGAGAAGCAAUCUGCAGUUUAUCCGUACCGUGUGGGGUUUUCCCGCAUGCUUUGUGCCUUCCAUGCAUUUCCCUAAUCUCCUCACCUAGUACUGUUUUACCUACAGUAGUAUCUAUUACUGUUUUGUAGCAAUGAGGUUUACAUUACCAAGGACACUCCGGUGAUAGAAAAAGCAAUGAUCGAUGGUGUAGAUCACACUUUUAGUGAAGUGUGUUGAGUGCGUGUUGCAUGGUUUUGAUUUUCAAGAAGGAAUUACUGCUGUAAAUGCAGUGUUAGCAAAGUCAGUGAAACUAUAUGCAUAAAUCUUCUUUUAGACUUUUUCUAAAUAAUGAAAGCAAUUUCAGGAUUAAAUGUUAUUUCACAUGUAGAUUUUUUUAAGUAUGUUCGUGGUUUAAUAUUUCAGUUACAUUUAAUUUGGUCAUUAAUGCCCAGAAAUGUAUGUCAGCUUCAUCGGAAGGAUAUUUUUGUAGAUAUAUUGUGACUGGUUUGUUCUUCUGUUAUUAGAUUUAUCUUUUGUUUUGUUUUCCUUUAAAACCUUAUUGAUUGUUGAAAACAUUUCAGUGCAUUCGGUAAUUUAACCUAUUUGUAUCCUUUUUAAACCAAUCCAGAAUAUUUUGCAUAAAGUCUAAUUUGAUUAAAGAUUUUGUGUUUUGUGUUUUCUUUAGAGUCAAUUCAGGCUCUUCAAAA